CCGGCUUCCAGACACCUCAGCACAGCUCGGGUGCAGGAGGAGCCAGCAUGGCCUCUUGUUGAUGAAAAUGUUGUUGGCAAUAUAUUUUUCAGCAAAGUCUGAAAGGGAUCUUCUGGGCUUCGGCAUGACUGGCACCCUUCAUCUUGUGUUCUUUGAAUGUGUGGUAACCACACAGUGAGAGAAGAAGCUGCAGCUGCCCUGGGGAGAUGGAUGGACAGUGAUCGAUGACAGUUCUCAGCACCCAUUCCCACGCAGUGUCCAACACACUCUAAUUUGCAAAUACCUACAACAAAGAGAAAGCCCGAAUCGAACUUAUGACUGCACACUUGCAAAGCAGGCACCUACGCCACUGAGCCAAAUCCCCAGUGCAGCAAGACAUAUUAUGGUGCUUCUGGUGAGAGACAAACAGAGCUACAAAGCCCAUUCCUUCACUCAUGGAUAAGGAUACAAGGUGCAUCCAAGCCAUCUGUACAUUCUCCUGAUGGGACCUGUGAUUGCUUGAAGCUUCCAACAGGAAAGCACGUGUAGAACUCAGGAAAAUGGAGCCAACAAAGGACAGACUGGAAGUAAGUUGAGACCUUGAUGCCACUACUCAGUCAGAAUCAAACCAGCUCUAAAGCCUGUGUAACCUCUGGACUCUGCUUCAAUAUCCCCCAAAGGCAUCAUAUGCUCAGAGGUGGAGCUUUUAGAAGGUGAAUUAUGGUGGCAUCGGCUGACUUGCCAUGAGAAGGGUCACCAAGAUUCAAAACUGUCAUAGCUUGACGGACUGUCUUUGUUCUCCUUCUGUGCGCCCUUAAGUUCCCUGCCACAGACCAACCUCGAUGACCAAAUGUGUAAAAGCUGGAGUACUCAGCCCAGCACCCAGCCACCAUGGACCCAUUCAAGUCCCCUGAACCAGGUGUACACUUAAUAAAAUCC